rnacentral:rRNA from 1 species
GAUGAACGCUGGCGGCGUGCCUAACACAUGCAAGUCGAGCGGGAUUUUCCGGAUUGAAGCUUCGGUAGAUUGAAGGAAAUGAGAGCGGCGGACGGGUGAGUAACGCGUAGGCAACCUGCUCUUUGCAGAGGGAUAGCCAUUGGAAACGAUGAUUAAAACCUCAUAAUGCCACGAAGUGACAUCGCUUUGUGGCCAAAGAUUUAUCGGCAAAGGAUGGGCCUGCGUCUGAUUAGCUAGUUGGUGGGGUAACGGCUCACCAAGGCGACGAUCAGUAGCCGACCUGAGAGGGUGAUCGGCCACAUUGGAACUGAGAAACGGUCCAAACUCCUACGGGAGGCAGCAGUGGGGAAUAUUGGGCAAUGGGCGCAAGCCUGACCCAGCAACGCCGCGUGAAGGAAGAAGGUCUUCGGAUCGUAAACUUCUAUCCUUGGUGAAGAUAAUGACGGUAGCCGAGAAGGAAGCCCCGGCUAACUACGUGCCAGCAGCCGCGGU